rnacentral:pre_miRNA from 1 species
UUUGGGAUAGCUGGGUCAAAUGGUGGUUCCAUUUCCAGUUUUCCAAGGAAUGUCCAUACUGCUUUCCAGAUCGAUUGCACCAAUUUGCAGUCCCACCAGCAAU